GAUGAACGCUGGCGGCGUGCCUAAUACAUGCAAGUCGAGCGAAUGGAUUAAGAGCUUGCUCUUAUGAAGUUAGCGGCGGACGGGUGAGUGACACGUGGGUAACCUGCCCAUAAGACUGGGAUAACUCCGGGAAACCGGGGCUAAUACCGGAUAACAUUUUGAACCGCAUGGUUCGAAAUUGAAAGGCGGCUUCGGCUGUCACUUAUGGAUGGACCCGCGUCGCAUUAGCUAGUUGGUGAGGUAACGGCUCACCAAGGCAACGAUGCGUAGCCGACCUGAGAGGGUGAUCGGCCACACUGGGGCUGAGACACGGCCCAGACUCCUACGGGAGGCAGCAGUAGGGAAUCUUCCGCAAUGGACGAAAGUCUGACGGAGCAACGCCGCGUGAGUGAUGAAGGCUUUCGGGUCGUAAAACUCUGUUGUUAGGGAAGAACAAGUGCUAGUUGAAUAAGCUGACACCUUGACGGUACCUAACCAGAAAGCCACGGCUAACUACGUGCCAGCAGCCGCAGUAA
rnacentral:rRNA from 1 species